AGAGCCCCAGCUUACUGGAAUGUUGGGUCACUCCACAGAGAGGGGCAGAGCUCCCUUCUCAGAGCAAUUGAGAGAGACACCCAGGUUGGGGACUCUCGUGGGUCAUGCCUCCAGGGACUCUCGGAGCUCCCUUCUCCUCAGAGCAACCUCAGCGGACUCUUGGCUUAGAGACUUCAUCAUGGACAUUUGAAAUAAAACCAGAAUUUGUUAAAGGGCAGAUGACAGCCAGCCUUGAGCCCUGAUGAUCCCAGGAUCCCAUCCAGUGGGAGGACUCUAAGUACCAGUCCAAGGUAUCUUUGGAGACCGGAUGUGUAGCUCAGUGGCAGAGCACUUGCCUGGCAUGUGAGAGGCCAUGGAGUCCAUCCCAGGACCAUACACACAGAAGAUGUCUUUGACAGGACUCAAGCAUGAGAGGAUACCAUUUAGGAGCCAAGAUGACAUCCAGUCAUCAUGUCUCCAUAGACUUCUCUUGGGGUGACAGUUUCUAUGAACUUCCUUGUUCUGAUGACCUUGACAGUAUUGAGGAG